rnacentral:rRNA from 1 species
CAGCAGCCGCGGGAAAACGAAGGGUGCAAGCGUUACUCGGAAUUACUGGGCGUAAAGCGUGCGUAGGUGGUGGUUUAAGUCCGUUGUGAAAGCCCUGGGCUCAACCUGGGAAUUGCAGUGGAUACUGGGUCACUAGAGUGUUGUAGAGGAUAGUGGAAUUUCCGGUGUAGCAGUGAAAUGCGUAGAGAUCGGAAGGAACAUCUGUGGCGAAGGCGACUAUCUGGGCCAACACUGACACUGAGGCACGAAAGCGUGGGGAGCAAACAGGAUUAGAUACCCCAGUAGUCCCUGUCUCUUAUAC